rnacentral:rRNA from 1 species
AGAACGAACGCUGGCGGCAUGCCUAACACAUGCAAGUCGAACGAGACCUUCGGGUCUAGUGGCGCACGGGUGCGUAACGCGUGGGAAUCUGCCCUUGGGUUCGGGAUAACAGUUGGAAACGACUGCUAAUACCGGAUAAUGACUUCGGUCCAAAGAUUUAUUGCCCAGGGAUGAGCCCGCGUAGGAUUAGCUAGUUGGUGAGGUAAAGGCUCACCAAGGCGACGAUCCUUAGCUGGUCUGAGAGGAUGAUCAGCCACACUGGGACUGAGACACGGCCCAGACUCCUACGGGAGGCAGCAGUGGGGAAUAUUGGACAAUGGGCGAAAGCCUGAUCCAGCAAUGCCGCGUGAGUGGAUAGAAGGCCUUAAGGGUUGUAAAGCUUAUUUACCCGGGAUAGGAUAAUGACAGUACCGGAAGAAGUAACGACCCCGGCUAACCGUCCGUGACCCGAGCACGGCCGAC